UACGUAGGGGGCAAGCGUUGUCCGGAAUCAUUGGGCGUAAAGCGCGUGUAGGCGGUCCGGUAAGUCCGCUGUGAAAGUCGGGGGCUUAACCCUCGGAUGCCGGUGGAUACUGUCGGGCUUGAGUACGGAAGAGGCGAGUGGAAUUCCUGGUGUAGCGGUGAAAUGCGCAGAUAUCAGGAGGAACACCAAUUGCGAAGGCAGCUCGCUGGGACGUGACUGACGCUGAGACGCGAAAGCGUGGGGAGCAAACAGG
rnacentral:rRNA from 1 species